UCCCUGGUGGCUCAGACAGUAAAGCGUAUGCUUGCAAUGCCAGAGACCCAGGUUUGAUUCCUGGGUAGGGAA
rnacentral:tRNA from 1 species